rnacentral:tRNA from 1 species
GGGCCGUUAGCUCAAUUGGUAGAGCACCGGUCUCCAAAACCGGGGGUUGGAGGUUCGAGUCCUUCACGGCCCGCCA